rnacentral:rRNA from 1 species
AGCUGGUCUGAGAGGAUGGUCAGCCACACUGGGACUGAGAUACGGCCCAGACUCCCACGGGAGGCAGCAGUCGAGAGGCUUUGUCAAUGGGGGAAACCCUGAACAAGCGACGCCGCGUGGGGGAUGACGGCCUUUGGGUUGUAAACCCCUUUCAGCAGGGACGAAUGUUAUGUGGGUGAAUAAUCCACGUAGUUGACGGUACCCGCAGAAGAAGCUCCGGCUAACUCCGUGCCAGCAGCCGCGGUAGUACGGGGGGAGCGAGCGUUGUUCGGAAUCACUGGGCGUAAAGGGCGUGUAGGCGGUUCGGUAAGUGAGAUGUGAAAGCCCCCGGCUCACCCGGGGAUGUGCAUUUCAUACUGCCGGACUUGAGUGCGGAAGAGGAUGGGGGAAUUCCUGGUGUAGCGGUGAAAUGCGUAGAUAUCAGGAGGAACACCGGUGGCGAAGGCGCCCAUCUGGUCCGUUACUGACGCUGAUGCGCGAAAGCUAGGGGAGCGAACGGGACUAGAUACCCCGGUAGUCCUAGCCGUAAACGGUGGGCACUAGGUGUUGGAGGCAUCGACCCUUCCAGUGCCGCAGCUAACGCAUUAAGUGCCCCGCCUGGGGAGUACGGUCGCAAGACUGAAACUCAAAAAAUUGACGGGGGCCCGCACAAGCGGUGGAGCAUGUGGUUCAAUUCGACGCAACGCGAAGAACCUUACCCAGGCUUGACAUGCACUGGACCGGUGUAGAAACACACCUUCCCUUCGGGGCUAGUGCACAGGUGCUGCAUGGCUGUCGUCAGCUCGUGUCGUGAGAUGUUGGGUUAAGUCCCGCAACGAGCGCAACCCUUGCCCUUAGUUGCUAACGAAUAAAGUCGAGCACUCUAGGGGGACUGCCGGCGGUAAGCCGGAGGAAGGUGGGGACGACGUCAAGUCCUCAUGGCCCUUACGCCUGGGGCUACACACGUGCUACAAUGACCGACACAGAGGGCUGCGAUACCGCGAGAUGGAGCCAAUCCCAAAAAGUCGGCCUCAGUUCGGAUUGCAGUCUGCAACUCGACUGCAUGAAGGUGGAAUCGCUAGUAAUCGCUGAUCAGCAGGCAGCGGUGAAUACGUUCCCGGGCCUUGUACACACCGCCCGUCAAGCCACGAAAGUUGGCAGUACCCGAAGUCGCCGUGGUAACCCGCAAGGGAGCUAGGCGCCUAAGGUAAGGCUAGCGAUUGGGGCUAAGUCGUAACAAGGUA